rnacentral:rRNA from 1 species
AGCGAACGCUGGCGGCAGGCCUAACACCUGCAAGUCGAACGGACCCUUCGGGGUUAGUGGCGGACGGGUGAGUAACACGUGGGAACGUGCCUUUAGGUUCGGAAUAGCUCCUGGAAACGGGUGGUAAUGCCGAAUGUGCUCUUCGGGGGCAAGAUUUAUCGCCUUUAGAGCGGCCCGCGUCUGAUUAGCUAGUUGGUGGUGCAACGGACCACCAAGGCGACGCGCAGUAGUUGGUCUGCGAGGAUGAUCAGACACAUUGGGCCUGAGCCCCGGCCCAAGCUCCUGCGGGAGGCAGCAUUGUGGAAUCUUGCGCAAUGGGCGAAAGCCUGACGCUGCCAUGCCGCGUGAAUGAUGAAGGUCUUAGGAUUGUAAAAUUCUUUCACCGGGGACGAUAAUGACGGUACCCGGAGAAGAAGCCCCGGCUAACUGCGUGCCAGCCGCCGCGGUAAGAC